AUUAUUUUGUUUGGUAUUGAGCAAGGGAAAGAAAUUGUACUUGACUGAUGUAGUGGUAUAAAUGAAAUUAGUC